GCGUGCGAUACAGGGUGACAGCCCCGUACACAAAAAUGCACAUAUUGUGAGCUCGAUGAGUAGGGCGGGACACGUGGUAUCCUGUCUGAAUAUGGGGGGACCAUCCUCCAAGGCUAAAUACUCCUGACUGACCGAUAGUGAACCAGUACCGUGAGGGAAAGGCGAAAAGAACCCCGGCGAGGGGAGUGAAAAAGAACCUGAAACCGUGUACGUACAAGCAGUGGGAGCCUCUUAAUGGGGUGACUGCGUACCUUUUGUAUAAUGGGUCAGCGACUUAUAUUCUGUAGCAAGGUUAACCGAAUAGGGGAGCCGAAGGGAAACCGAGUCUUAACUGGGCGUUAAGUUGCAGGGUAUAGACCCGAAACCCGGUGAUCUAGCCAUGGGCAGGUUGAAGGUUGGGUAACACUAACUGGAGGACCGAACCGACUAAUGUUGAAAAAUUAGCGGAUGACUUGUGGCUGGGGGUGAAAGGCCAAUCAAACCGGGAGAUAGCUGGUUCUCCCCGAAAGCUAUUUAGGUAGCGCCUCGUGAAUUCAUCUCCGGGGGUAGAGCACUGUUUCGGCAAGGGGGUCAUCCCGACUUACCAACCCGAUGCAAACUGCGAAUACCGGAGAAUGUUAUCACGGGAGACACACGGCGGGUGCUAACGUCCGUCGUGAAGAGGGAAACAACCCAGACCGCCAGCUAAGGUCCCAAAGUCAUGGUUAAGUGGGAAACGAUGUGGGAAGGCCCAGACAGCCAGGAUGUUGGCUUAGAAGCAGCCAUCAUUUAAAGAAAGCGUAAUAGCUCACUGGUCGAGUCGGCCUGCGCGGAAGAUGUAACGGGGCUAAACCAUG
rnacentral:rRNA from 1 species